GACGAAUGCUGGCGGCGUGCCUAACACAUGCAAGUCGAACGAGUGGCGGACGGGUGAGUAAUGUCUGGGAAACUGCCUGAUGGAGGGGGAUAACUACUGGAAACGGUAGCUAAUACCGCAUACCAUCAGAUGUGCCCAGAUGGGAUUAGCUAGUUGGGGGGGUAACGGCUCACCAAGGCGACGAUCCCUAGCUGGUCGGAGAGGAUGACCAGACACACGGGGACUGAGACAUGGUCCAGAUUCCUACGGGAGGCAGCAGUGGGGAAUAUGGCACAAUGGGCGCAAGCCUGAUGCAGCCAUGCCGCGUGUAUGAAGAAGGCCUUAGGGUUGUAAAGUACUUUCAGCGGGGAGGCGUUACCCGCAGAAGAAGCACCGGCUAACUCCGUGCCAGCAGCCGCGGUAAUUC
rnacentral:rRNA from 1 species